rnacentral:rRNA from 1 species
UAUUGCGCAAUGGGGGAAACCCUGACGCAGCAACGCCGCGUGCAGGAAGAAGGUCUUCGGGGUGUAAACUGUUGUCUCAGGGGAAGAAGACAGUGACGGUACUCUGUGAGAAUGUCACGGAUAACUACGUGCCAGCAGCCGCGGCAAUACGUAGGUGACAAGCGUUGUCCGGAUUUACUGGGUGUAAAGGGCGCGUAGGCGGGAUAGCAAGUCAGUCGUGAAAUGCCGAGGCUUAACCUCGGAGCUGCGAUUGAAACUGUUAUUCUUGAGUAUCGGAGAGGAAAGCGGAAUUCCUAGUGUAGCGGUGAAAUGCGUAGAUAUUAGGAGGAACACCAGUGGCGAAGGCGGCUUUCUGGACGACAACUGACGCUGAGGCGCGAAAGUGUGGGGAGCA